rnacentral:rRNA from 1 species
UACGUAGGGGGCGAGCGUUGUCCGGAUUCAUUGGGCGUAAAGAGCUCGUAGGCGGCUUGGUAAGUCGGGUGUGAAACCUCCAGCUCAACCUGGAGACGCCACUCGAUACUGCCAUGGCUAGAGUCCGGUAGGGGCCCACGGAAUUCCUGGUGUAGCGGUGAAAGUGCGCAGAUAUCAGGAGGAACACCGGUGGCGAAGGCGGUGGGCUGGGCCGGAACUGACGCUGAGGAGCGAAAGCGUGGGGAGCGAACAGG